GACGAACGCUGGCGGCGUGCUUAACACAUGCAAGUCGAACGGAAAGGCCCUGCUUUUGUGGGGUGCUCGAGUGGCGAACGGGUGAGUAACACGUGAGUAACCUGCCCUUGACUUUGGGAUAACUUCAGGAAACUGGGGCUAAUACCGGAUAGGAGCUCCUGCUGCAUGGUGGGGGUUGGAAAGUUUCGGCGGUUGGGGAUGGACUCGCGGCUUAUCAGCUUGUUGGUUGGGUAGUGGCUUACCAAGGCUUUGACGGGUAGCCGGCCUGAGAGGGUGACCGGCCCCAUUGGGACUGAGAUACGGCCCAGACUCCUACGGGAGGCAGCGGUGGGGAAGAUUGCACAAUGGGCGGAAGCAUGAUGCAGUAACGCCGCGUGCGGGAUGACGGCCUGCGGGUUGUAAACCGCUUUCGCCUGUGACGAAGCGUGAGUGACGGUAAUGGGUAAAGAAGCACCGGCUAACUACGUG
rnacentral:rRNA from 1 species